GGUGUGUCGUGAGGCAUGCUGGAGGUAUCAGAAGUGCGAAUGCUGACAUAAGUAACGAUAAAGCGGGUGAAAAGCCCGCUCGCCGGAAGACCAAGGGUUCCUGUCCAACGUUAAUCGGGGCAGGGUGAGUCGACCCCUAAGGCGAGGCCGAAAGGCGUAGUCGAUGGGAAACGGGUUAAUAUUCCCGUACUUGGUGUUACUGCGAAGGGGGGACGGAGAAGGCUAUGUUGGCCGGGCGACGGUUGUCCCGGUUUAAGCGUGUAGGUGUGUGUUCCAGGUAAAUCCGGUUCACUUUAACACUGAGGCGUGACGACGAGGCACUACGGUGCUGAAGCAACAAAUGCCCUGCUUCCAGGAAAAGCCUCUAAGCAUCAGGUAACAUCAAAUCGUACCCCAAACCGACACAGGUGGUCAGGUAGAGAAUACCAAGGCGCUUGAGAGAACUCGGGUGAAGGAACUAGGCAAAAUGGUGCCGUAACUUCGGGAGAAGGCACGCUGACACGUAGGUGAAGUGAUUUACUCAUGGAGCUGAAGUCAGUCGAAGAUACCAGCUGGCUGCAACUGUUUAUUAAAAACACAGCACUGUGCAAACACGAAAGUGGACGUAUACGGUGUGACGCCUGCCCGGUGCCGGAAGGUUAAUUGAUGGGGUCAGCGCAAGCGAAGCUCCUGAUCGAAGCCCCGGUAAACGGCGGCCGUAACUAUAACGGUCCUAAGGUAGCGAAAUUCCUUGUCGGGUAAGUUCCGACCUGCACGAAUGGCGUAAUGAUGGCCAGGCUGUCUCCACCCGAGACUCAGUGAAAUUGAACUCGCUGUGAAGAUGCAGUGUACCCGCGGCAAGACGGAAAGACCCCGUGAACCUUUACUAUAGCUUGACACUGAACAUUGAGCCUUGAUGUGUAGGAUAGGUGGGAGGCUUUGAAGUGUGGACGCCAGUCUGCAUGGAGCCGACCUUGAAAUACCACCCUUUAAUGUUUGAUGUUCUAACGUGGACCCGUAAUCCGGGUUGCGGACAGUGUCUGGUGGGUAGUUUGACUGGGGCGGUCUCCUCCUAAAGAGUAACGGAGGAGCACGAAGGUUGGCUAAUCCUGGUCGGACAUCAGGAGGUUAGUGCAAUGGCAUAAGCCAGCUUGACUGCGAGCGUGACGGCGCGAGCAGGUGCGAAAGCAGGUCAUAGUGAUCCGGUGGUUCUGAAUGGAAGGGCCAUCGCUCAACGGAUAAAAGGUACUCCGGGGAUAACAGGCUGAUACCGCCCAAGAGUUCAUAUCGACGGCGGUGUUUGGCACCUCGAUGUCGGCUCAUCACAUCCUGGGGCUGAAGUAGGUCCCAAGGGUAUGGCUGUUCGCCAUUUAAAGUGGUACGCGAGCUGGGUUUAGAACGUCGUGAGACAGUUCGGUCCCUAUCUGCCGUGGGCGCUGGAGAACUGAGGGGGGCUGCUCCUAGUACGAGAGGACCGGAGUGGACGCAUCACUGGUGUUCGGGUUGUCAUGCCAAUGGCACUGCCCGGUAGCUAAAUGCGGAAGAGAUAAGUGCUGAAAGCAUCUAAGCACGAAACUUGCCCCGAGAUGAGUUCUCCCUGAGACUUAGAGUCUCCUGAAGGAACGUUGAAGACGACGACGUUGAUAGGCCGGGUGUGUAAGCGCAGCGAUGCGUUGAGCUAACCGGUACUAAUGAACCGUGAGGCUUAACCUUACAACGCCGAAG
rnacentral:rRNA from 1 species